rnacentral:rRNA from 1 species
UACAGAGGGGGCAAGCGUUGUUCGGAAUUACUGGGCGUAAAGGGCGCGUAGGCGGCCUGCUAAGUCGAACGUGAAAUCCCUGGGCUCAACCCGGGAACUGCGUCCGAUACUGGUUGGCUUGAAUCCGGGAGAGGGAUGUGGAAUUCCAGGUGUAGCGGUGAAAUGCGUAGAUAUCUGGAGGAACACCGGUGGCGAAGGCGACAUCCUGGACCGGUAUUGACGCUGAGGCGCGAAAGCCAGGGGAGCAAACGGG